AUUGAACGCUGGCGGCAGGCCUAACACAUGCAAGUCGAACGAGUGGCGGACGGGUGAGUAAUGUCUGGGAAACUGCCUGAUGGAGGGGGAUAACUACUGGAAACGGUAGAUAAUACCGCAUACCAUCGGAUGUGCCCAGAUGGGAUUAGCUAGUAGGUGGGGGAAAGGCUCACCUAGGCGACGAUCCCUAGCUGGGCUGCGAGGAUGACCAGCCACCACGGGACUGUGACACGGUCCAGACUCCUACGUGAGGCAGCAGUGGGGAAUAGGGCGCAAUGGGUGGAAGCCUGAUGCAGCCAUGCCGCUUGUAUGAAGAAGGCCUUCGGGUUGUAAAGUACUGUCAGCGGGGAGGCGUUACCCGCAGAAGAAGCGCCGGCUAACUCCGUGCCAGCAGCCGCGGUAAUUC
rnacentral:rRNA from 1 species